GAUGAAGAGCGCAGCGAAAUGCGAUAAGUAAUGUGAAUUGCAGAAUUCAGUGAAUCAUCGAAUCUUUGAACGCACAUUGCGCCCCCUGGUAUUCCGGGGGGCAUGCCUGUCCGAGCGUCAUUACAACCCUCAAGCUCAGCUUGGUGUUGGGCCCCGCCGCCCCGGCGGGCCCUAAAGUCAGUGGCGGUGCCGUCCGGCUCCGAGCGUAGUAAUUCUUCUCGCUCUGGAGGUCCGGUCGUGUGCUCGCCAGCAACCCCCAAUUUUUUUCAGGUUGACCUCGGAUCAGGUAGGGAUACCCGCUGAACUUAAGCAUAUCAAUAAGCGGAGGA
rnacentral:misc_RNA from 1 species